UGUCGGUGGUUUGCACAUUUUCACGAUUCGCACGUGUGCACGAUUUCAUGUAUUGACGUGCGCACAUGUGCACAAUUUCUUGAUUUUCAGUUUUUGAUACUGUUGGUGUUCUUGAUUUCAGGUUUUCGUGUUUUCAGUUUUUGAGACCUUGAUUAAUGAUUUUUUUUUUAUUUUUGAUUUUCAUUUUUGCGAUUUAUUAUUAUUUUUUGAUUCAGAUCCUUUAAUCCAGAAAAUUCAGUUUGGCCGCGGUGGUUUCAUCCCGAAAUUCCUAGUUGGCAUUCCGAGAACUUUUUCCUGGAAUUCCUGAUUGGCAUUCCGAGGACUUUUUCCUAAAAGCCCAUGCAAAUAAGGCCGAUUCCUUCGCCGUUGAUCUGUUUGAAUUGAUGGUGGAAUUUACUGGAGGCUCUCAGGCUCACUAAGAUUUUUUCUUUUUGCAUCACAUUAGAUCGAAAUUCAAGCACUGUUUUGUUGAUAUGCAGCCCGUGACGAAGUUCAGCCCCACUGCCUACAAGAUCAGCAUGCGUUCCAUGUCCAGCGCUGUGCAUAUGCUCCAGGAUCGUCUGUCUGUGUUAUGCCAAUACAUGGCCACCGUGGAGCAGAAACAGUUGCCACCGGACAAUAAUUAUUGGGUAGCAUGAAUUUGGAAUUGUAAUGCUACCUGCGUGUUUUCUUUGACGUUAAAAAACGUAUGGUUUAAUGCGGACACUUCUUCGCUUAACCAACUGUGGCAGAAGAACGAGCAGAAAAUUAAAAAACUUGACGCGGCAAUUUCGGAUGUUUAAAGAAUUUCGGAUCUGUCAAAGUUCGCGAAGCGUACCUUGCCAAGUUUAAUAAUCUUUCCCGCACUGGAGACAAGGAAGGGGCUGAAAGUGCGUUUCGACAGCGCUUUGAAAAAACCGUAAGUCAAGGCAACAAACUCGAUCCGAUUUUCCAAAUUGUCCGUAUCGGUAUCUUCUUUGAGGAUUUGGAUUUAACCGCACACAUUUUGGAUAAAGCAUGGAGUCUGCUGGAGCAGGGCGGUGAUUGGGAUCGACGAAACCGGCUAAAGGUGUACGAAGCAUGAAGAUGCUUGAGUUUCCAAAAGCCACCAUUAAUUUUCUGGACGCAGUUAGCACAUUUACCUGUUCGGAGAUACAUAUUAGACUACGAUACCUACGUGGCGUAUAACGUCAUGUGCGCGAUGCUGACGCUGGAACGAGCGAAACAAAGAAAAAGUUAAAAGUGGUGAUAAGGAUCUGAUUGUGGUAUUAAAUUUUUUUUGUAGUGACCACUUUUUUACGUAAAAUUUGGUAUGGAUACUCACACUUUCGCUUAAAAAAGGAUAGUUGCCUUAUUAAACAAAGUUGUACGAGUACUAUUCAAUUAUCUUAUUAUGACAGGACUGCUAGUGUAGAGCACUCGCCAGCAUUUUUGUUUGUUAUUGUUACGGGAAAUUAUUGUUACGGUCAAGCAUGCUGCCGUUCUUCCGAUCAUUUCGUUCGGCUGUGGUACUUUUGGUAUGUUGACAG